UGGGGAAUAUUGGACAAUGGGGGCAACCCUGAUCCAGCAAUGCCGCGUGUGUGAAGAAGGUCUUCGGAUUGUAAAGCACUUUCGACGGGGACGAUGAUGACGGUACCCGUAGAAGAAGCCCCGGCUAACUUCGUGCCAGCAGCCGCGGUAAUACGAAGGGGGCUAGCGUUGCUCGGAAUGACUGGGCGUAAAGGGCGUGUAGGCGGUUUACACAGUCAGAUGUGAAAUCCCCGGGCUUAACCUGGGAGCUGCAUUUGAUACGUGUAGACUAGAGUGUNAGAGAGGGUUGUGGAAUUCCCAGUGUAGAGGUGAAAUUCGUAGAUAUUGGGAAGAACACCGGUGGCGAAGGCGGCAACCUGGCUCAUGACUGACGCUGAGGCGCGAAAGCGUGGGGAGCAAACAGGAUUAGAUACCCUGGUAGUCCACGCUGUAAACGAUGUGUGCUAGAUGUUGGGUAA
rnacentral:rRNA from 1 species